rnacentral:tRNA from 1 species
AGUCUUAUAAUCAAAGUAUGAUUUCAAAUUGCAAGUUUGAACGUAGGGUUAACCUUAAGGCUU